rnacentral:rRNA from 1 species
GACGAACCGUGCGAACGUUGUUCGGAUUCACUGGGCUUAAGGGCGCGUAGGCGGGUGGUCAAGUCAGGGGGGAAAGCCCACGGCCCAACCGUGGAAGUGCCUCUGAUACUGAUCGUCUUGAGGGAGGUAGGGGCAUGCGGAACUUCCGGUGGAGCGGUGAAAUGCGUAGAUAUCGGAAGGAACGCCGGUGGCGAAAGCGGCGUGCUGGACCUCUUCUGACGCUGAGGCGCGAAAGCCAGGGGAGCGAACGGG